rnacentral:rRNA from 1 species
CAGCCGCCACGGUAAUACGAAGGGUGCAAGCGUUGAUCGGAAUUACUGGGCGUAAAGCGUGCGUAGGCGUGAGUUAAGUCUGCUGUGAAAUCCCCGGGCUCAACCUGGGAAUGGCAGUGGAUACUGGCUCGCUAGAGUGUGUCAGAGGGGGGUGGAAUUCCACGUGUAGCAGUGAAAUGCGUAGAGAUGUGGAGGAACACCGAUGGCGAAGGCAGCCCCCUGGGCCAAUACUGACGCUCAUGCACGAAAGCGUGGGGAGCAAACAGGAUUAGAUACCCGCGUAGUCCCUGUCUCUUAUACC